UCUCUUAUUAACACUAAAAAGUAAAAUAAAUAAAAUUAAGGCCAUAAAAAUUCAUUCUCUUUGUUUCUGCACUGCCCAAGAAUACUAUGGAGUAAGAACUCCAGGAAACUUAACUUGAUUUUAAAUUCUACCAAUAAAUGUAAAAAAGGAAAAGAAAACUAUGUUUCAUUAAUUUCUCUCACUCUGUGUCCAUCUUCUUUAAAACAAAAUUGGAGCCUCUGCCAAGAUUCUGUUCCAUUGGUUUUAGUAUUAGUUGGGGUGAAGAAGGAGCCUAUCAGUCCUUUCUUUAAAAUUGUACCUUGGAGACAUUCGUGUUGUUCAUGGAGUACUUAAGAGUUUUGCCCUUGAACUGAUUCCCAAGCAGGAACUCAUUUACAGACUUCAAUAUGAAUAUGUAAUCCACAUGUCCUUGAAUUUGGCAGGACCAUUGAAAAAGAACCGACAUGUUAUAUGUGAUAUAUUUUUUAUAAGGCACCUUAGUGCCAUGUCAUAGAUUAAAAUGGGCAGGUGAUUCUGGCCAAAAAGAUAGUUUGUUAAAUCUAGCUACAAAUGUGGAAAUUUGACUUAUGUUUAAGUUUUCCUGUCACUAGAGAAUAGUUUGAUACAAUUUUCUUUGUGUAAUUGCAAAGAAUUGUUUGUGGUGGGGAAAAAUCCUUUAACUUGCCAGAGGGUCUUUCCUUUGCCUUUUCUAUUAAUAGCUCACAUUUCUUGAGAUCUAAUAUUGGCCAGCCCUUGUGCUACAUACAUUGGUGCAUUGGUAAAUGUUUAGGAACUGGAUCUCAAAAAUAGUUCCGAUUUGUAGCUUUUGCCAGUUUCUGUGGUGUAAAUACUCCCACCAUGGUCAGUUUCAAGCCAUGAUUGUGAUGUCACUGAAGGGAGUGGGGAGUUGGGAAGACAUGCUACCAGUAGGCUCUUGUGGGAAAAUAGGAGUCAAUUCCAGUACAGCAGUGGCUAGAUGUUUACAUGUGCUAACUCUCAACGCAGUUCUACGAUUUAGAUACUGUAACUACCACAUUUCAAAGAUGAGAAAGCUGAAGCAUUGAGAGCAUUAACUUAUCCAAGUGACACAGCUGGACAUCAUUACUCCUCUGCUCCAAAGAGUAUCUCCAAGACUACAGAGACAGCAUGAUACUGUUCCUUUUUCUGCAGCACAAGAUUACAAACAGAAAUAGAAUACACUGUUGGAAAUGAACAUGAAUGAGGCCAGUCUGCUUUGAUAGAAAUACAUCUUGUGAUGGGUUAGAACUUAGAACUUUCUAAAGGGACAGAUACUCACUUUUCUGGCCUAUGAACUUUGUUCCCUAAAAAAUGAACUAAAAAGAAUGCUAGAAAAAUGUAGAAAAUAAAUCCCUAGAAACAUC